AACGAACGCUGGCGGCAGGCCUAACACAUGCAAGUCGAGCGAGGACUUCGGUUCUAGCGGCGGACGGGUGAGUAACGCGUGGGAAUGUGCCCUUCUCUACGGAAUAGCCCUGGGAAACUGGGAGUAAUACCGGAUACGCCCUAUUGGGGAAAGAUUUAUCGGAGAAGGAUCAGCCCGCGUUGGAUUAGGUAGUUGGUGGGGUAAUGGCCUACCAAGCCGACGAUCCAUAGCUGGUUUGAGAGGAUGAUCAGCCACACUGGGACUGAGACACGGCCCAGACUCCUACGGGAGGCAGCAGUGGGGAAUCUUAGACAAUGGGGGCAACCCUGAUCUAGCCAUGCCGCGGGAGUGAUGAAGGCCUUAGGGUUGUAAAGCUCUUUCAGCUGGGAAGAUAAUGACGGUACCAGCAGAAGAAGCCCCGGCUAACUCCGUG
rnacentral:rRNA from 1 species